GCGGCGUCUUCCUCUUCUUCCCCUUAGGAGAAUCGACGGCCUCAGUCAGGGGCGCCUUCCCCUUGAGCUCGGGAGACGCAUUCUGCUUUGGCUGGGGGCGCAGGCUCCGGCGGGCCCUUGUCGUCACCGGAAUUAGACACUUCGUCCUGGCCGAGGCCGUCGAUUCUCCUAGCGGGAAGAGGAAGACGCCGC
rnacentral:pre_miRNA from 1 species